rnacentral:rRNA from 1 species
GGUUUCGAUUCUGGCUCAGGAUGAACGCUGGCGGCGUGCUUAACACAUGCAAGUCGAACGAAGCAUUUCUAACUCUUCGGAGGAGGAAAUGACUGAGUGGCGGACGGGUGAGUAACGCGUGGGUAACCUGCCUUAUACAGGGGGAUAACAGUUAGAAAUGACUGCUAAUACCGCAUAACCCGCUAGUACCGCAUGGUACAGACGGAAAAGAUUUAUCGGUAUAAGAUGGACCCGCGUCUGAUUAGCUAGUUGGUGAGGUAAUGGCUCACCAAGGCGACGAUCAGUAGCCGGCUUGAGAGAGUGAACGGCCACAUUGGGACUGAGACACGGCCCAAACUCCUACGGGAGGCAGCAGUGGGGAAUAUUGCACAAUGGGGGAAACCCUGAAUGCAGCAACGCCGCGUGAAGGAAGAAGUAUUUCGGUAUGUAAACUUCUAUCAGCAGGAAAGAAAAUGACGGUACCUGACUAAGAAGCCCCGGCUAACUACGUGCCAGCCGCCGC